rnacentral:sRNA from 1 species
CUGACAGCACAGAAAAGUCUUGUUCACAGAACAGGAACAGCAUAAGCAGCUACAGCACAGGCUUCCGCACACUGCUCUGCCUCUGUGCCUCAACCCUGACCUGGAAGUUCAAUAUCCAUGCCAACUCAAUCAUUGCCCUUCCCCAGGAGGCUAUU